UACAGAGGGUGCGAGCGUUGUUCGGAGUUACUGGGCGUAAAGGGUGUGUAGGCGGUCCUCUAAGUUUGGUGUGAAAUCUCCCGGCUCAACUGGGAGGGUGCGCCGAAAACUGGAGGGCUAGAGUACUGGAUGGGAGAGUGGAAUUCCUGGUGUAGCGGUGAAAUGCGUAGAUAUCAGGAGGAACACCGGUGGCGAAGGCGGGUCUCUGGGCCGUAACUGACGCUGAGGAGCGAAAGCGUGGGGAGCGAACAGG
rnacentral:rRNA from 1 species